UAUAAUGACAUCUUCUUAAAAAAAAUUAAUGUAGAUCGUUGACAUCGAAAGGAGUGGGAAAAUGAAAGUUGGGCCAAAGCUAAGUACACAAAUAUGCCCCUUUGUCGUACCAAUCAACAUCUAACGACCAAUAUACAUCGUGGAGUUUUGGAUGCAAAAUAGCACUAAGAUCCCAUAAGAUCUAAAAAAGCAUUCAGAAAGUAAUAAACACAUUUCUAAUAUGGCGGUGCUAUUUAAGCAAAACAAAAUUUCAAAUUUUAUAAUACAGCCACAAUCAAAUGAGUCUAAAAUAAUUGACAUUAAACUAGCCGUUUUUAUUGCAAAACAUAGCUCAAUUGCUUCUGUUGACCACUUUUUAUCAUAAAAGACUUAAAAUUGUUA